rnacentral:rRNA from 1 species
AUACGGAGGAUGCAAGCGUUAUCCGGAUUUAUUGGGUUUAAAGGGUGCGUAGGCGGGACUGUAACUCAGGGGUGAAAUACUGCAGCUUAACUGUAGCAUUGCCUUUGAAACUGCCGUUCUUGAGCACAGUUGAGGGAGGCGGAAUGUGGAGCGUAGCGGUGAAAUGCAUAGAUAUACCACAGAACGCCGAUUGCGAAGGCAGCUUACUAAGCUGUUACUGACGCUGAGGCACGAAAGCGUGGGGAUCAAACAGGAUUAGAUACCCUGGUAGUCCACGCUGUAAACGAUGAUUACUGGUUGUUAGCGAUAUAUAGCUAGUGACUGAGCGAAAGCAUUAAGUAAUCCACCUGGGGAGUACGUCGUCAACGAUGAAACUCAAAUGAAUUGACGGGG